UACGGAGGGUGCAAGCGUUAUCCGGAUUCACUGGGUUUAAAGGGUGCGUAGGUGGGCAGGUAAGUCAGUGGUGAAAUCUCCGGGCUUAACUCGGAACUGCCAUUGAUACUAUCUGUCUUGAAUACCGUGGAGGUCAGCGGAAUAUGUCAUGUAGCGGUGAAAUGCUUAGAUAUGACAUAGAACACCAAUUGCGAAGGCAGCUGGCUACACGAAUAUUGACACUGAUGCACGAAAGCGUGGGGAUCAAACAGG
rnacentral:rRNA from 1 species